UACGAGAGCCUCGAGCGUUAUCCGGAAUUAUUGGGCGUAAAGGGUGCGUAGGUUGUUCUGUUAGUCUUUUGUUAAAACCCGGGGCUUAACUUCGGGCUUGCGGUUGAUACGGGCGGGCUGGAGUUCGGUAGGGGAGACUGGAAUUCCUGGUGUAGCGGUGAAAUGCGCAGAUAUCAGGAGGAACACCGGUGGCGAAGGCGGGUCUCUGGGCAUGUCCUGACGCUGAGGAGCGAAAGUGUGGGGAGCGAACAGG
rnacentral:rRNA from 1 species